rnacentral:rRNA from 1 species
AGUCGAGGGGCAGCGGGAGGAGUGCUUGCACUUCUUGCCGGCGACCGGCGCACGGGUGAGUAACACGUAUGCAACCUGCCUCCGUCAGGGGGACAACCCGGCGAAAGCCGGGCUAAUCCCGCGUAUAUUCCGUGAGGGCAUCCUUACGGAAGGAAAGGCUUCGGCCGGACGGGGAUGGGCAUGCGGCGCAUUAGGUAGUCGGGGGUGUAACGGACCACCGAGCCGACGAUGCGUAGGGGUUCUGAGAGGAAGGUCCCCCACACUGGUACUGAGACACGGACCAGACUCCUACGGGAGGCAGCAGUGAGGAAUAUUGGUCAAUGGUCGGAAGACUGAACCAGCCAAGCCGCGUGAAGGAAGAAGGUGCUCGGCAUCGUAAACUUCUUUUGUCAGGGAACAAAGGGCGGUACGUGUACCGCUGUGAGUGUACCUGAAGAAAAAGCAUCGGCUAACUCCGUGCCAGCAGCCGCGGUAAUACGGAGGAUGCGAGCGUUAUCCGGAUUUAUUGGGUUUAAAGGGUGCGCAGGCGGCGCGGUAAGUCAGCGGUAAAAGCCCGGGGCUCAACCCCGGCGAGCCGUUGAAACUGCCGUGCUAGAGUAAGGUCGAGGUAUGCGGAAUGCGCGGUGUAGCGGUGAAAUGCAUAGAUAUCGCGCAGAACUCCGAUUGCGAAGGCAGCAUACCGGUCCUUUACUGACGCUCAGGCACGAAAGCGUGGGGAUCAAACAGGCUUAGAUACCCUGGUAGUCCACGCAGUAAACGAUGAAUACUGGGUGUUCGGAAUGUAGAUUCUGAGUGCCGAAGCGAAAGCGUUAAGUAUUCCACCUGGGGAGUACGCCGGCAACGGUGAAACUCAAAGGAAUUGACGGGGACCCGCACAAGCGGUGGAGCAUGUGGUUUAAUUCGAAGCAACGCGAAGAACCUUACCAAAU